GUUUCUAAAAGUCGUGGUGUUGAUUUAUGUGAAAACAGUCCCGUUUCUAGGAACUGUUUUGGAUCAGUCCGUAGCAGGGGCAUUUUCGCCCCCUUUUUGUGCUUUAUAAAUUCUGGAAAAAUUUGGGGUGUUAAUAUCAGUAAAUAUGCAGGUUGUGUAAAAAUUUGAGAAUUUUUGGCCAUACGGUUUGAGAGAUAUGGAUUUUACGGUGAAGGACCUCAUAACUGUUUUUUUUGGCCAAAACGUUACUGCCACAAAAAGGAAAUUUCGGGCUUAUCUAGCCUGCUCUAAAAAUUCUGGGCUUUUGGUAUGUUAUAGUACACUCAAUAAGCUUUCCAUAGACUCCGAAAUGGACUAAAUCCGACAUCGGAGGAGAGAGUUAUGGGAUUUCUACCAAACUACUCAAAGAUAAGAAAAAACUGUUAGAAGGACAGUUUUUACCAGCCAGUUCCGGGCUAAAUUCCGGGAGUUUAACAUGUCCAAAUAUGGAUUGUGAUAGAUGAAAACUGUAGUUCGGAAAGAUAAGAAUCCAACAAAAUUGACGGAUCAUUAAUCGGAGUUACAGAUUUCGUUUUAUAUAAGUUUUAGUAAAGCACUCCAAAACUGCCAAAGUACAAAAAGUUGCUGCCCAAACUUUUCCGGGGACUGUUUCGGACAUUUAUUUAAUGAUAAAAAUUCCAUGCUUUUGGGAAAUGAAAAUAUAUGGUAUUAUGUAGCUCGUGUCCAAAAAUGAGAUAAUUCCAAGUUAAAACGGCCAAGUUAUGCCUAUUCUAAUUUUUGUUAUUUUUCGACGGAAAUCGCUAUAACCGGAGUUCUACAACUCCGAUUGCCGCGAAAUUUAAAAUGGAGCAUCACGUUAACAUAUAUAAGGUUAUGUCAAAAGAUGGGCAUCUCUGGAGUUAAGCACGAGGUAGCUAAUUUUCUUAAGUCACGCACUAAUUAUGAUUUUUGAAAAAUAGUAAAAGAAAUUGAAAAAUUACG
rnacentral:lncRNA from 1 species